CCCGCUGAACUUAAGCAUAUCAAUAAGCGGAGGAAAAGAAACCAACAGGGAUUGCCCCAGUAACGGCGAGUGAAGCGGCAACAGCUCAAAUUUGAAAUCUGGCGCAAGCCCGAGUUGUAAUUUGCAGAGGAUGCUUCAGGGCAGCGACCGGUCUAAGUUCCUUGGAACAGGACGUCGUAGAGGGUGAGAAUCCCGUAUGCGACCGGUUGGCACCCGUCACGUAGCUCCUUCGACGAGUCGAGUUGUUUGGGAAUGCAGCUCUAAAUGGGAGGUAAAUUUCUUCUAAAGCUAAAUACCGGCCAGAGACCGAUAGCGCACAAGUAGAGUGAUCGAAAGAUGAAAAGCACUUUGGAAAGAGAGUUAAAAAGCACGUGAAAUUGUUGAAAGGGAAGCGCAUGCAACCAGACUUGUCGGCGGUGUUCCGCCGGUCUUCUGACCGGUCCACUCGCCGCCGGCAGGCCAGCAUCAUCUGGGCGCGCCGGACAAAGGCGCGGGGAAUGUAGCUCCUCGGAGUGUUAUAGCCCCGCGCACAAUACGGCGCCGCUCGGGUGAGGUCCGCGCUUCGGCUAGGAUGCUGGCGUAAUGGUUGUCUGCGGCCCGUCUUGAAACACGGACCAAGGAGUCUAACAUCUAUGCGAGUGUUCGGGUGUCAAACCCCUACGCGGAAUGAAAGUGAACGGAGGUGGGAAGCGCAAGCUGCACCAUCGACCGAUCCUGAUGUCUUCGGAUGGAUUUGAGUAAGAGCAUAGCUGUUGGGACCCGAAAGAUGGUGAACUAUGCCUGAAUAGGGUGAAGCCAGAGGAAACUCUGGUGGAGGCUCGCAGCGGUUCUGACGUGCAAAUCGAUCGUCAAAUUUGGGUAUAGGGGCGAAAGACUAAUCGAACCAUCUAUUAGCUGGUUCCUGCCGAA
rnacentral:rRNA from 1 species